AGCUUGCUCUCUCGUGACGAGUGGCGGACGGGUGAGUAAUGUCUGGGAAACUGCCUGAUGGAGGGGGAUAACUACUGGAAACGGUAGCUAAUACCGCAUAACGUCGCAAGACCAAAGAGGGGGACCUUCGGGCCUCUUGCCAUCAGAUGUGCCCAGAUGGGAUUAGCUGGUAGGCGGGGUAACGGCCCACCUAGGCGACGAUCCCUAGCUGGUCUGAGAGGAUGACCAGCCACACUGGAACUGAGACACGGUCCAGACUCCUACGGGAGGCAGCAGUGGGGAAUAUUGCACAAUGGGCGCAAGCCUGAUGCAGCCAUGCCGCGUGUGUGAAGAAGGCCUUCGGGUUGUAAAGCACUUUCAGCGGGGAGGAAGGCGGUACGGUUAAUAACCGUNCUGAUUGACGUUACCCGCAGAAGAAGCACCGGCUAACUCCGUGCCAGCAGCCGCGGUAAUACGGAGGGUGCAAGCGUUAAUCGGAAUUACUGGGCGUAAAGCGCACGCAGGCGGUCUGUCAAGUCGGAUGUGAAAUCCCCGGGCUCAACCUGGGAACUGCAUUCGAAACUGGCAGGCUGGAGUCUCGUAGAGGGAGGUAGAAUUCCAGGUGUAGCGGUGAAAUGCGUA
rnacentral:rRNA from 1 species